GAACGGAUUCUGUUAUACAAUAAGGCAUUUUUUUGAAAUGUUUGAGAAAGUAAAUGAUAACUAACACCCUCUCAGAAUUAACGUUU